rnacentral:lncRNA from 1 species
CCACUGAGGGCCUGCGCCGGCCUUGCUGUAGUCCUAGCCUCUCUUCUUGGUCAUCUUCUCCCCCUUCCUAUGCUUUCAUUUUUGGGUCCCCAUUUAGGCUACUUGGCCAAUGGGAAAGGGGAUCUCUUCCAAAAUUUGAAGGAGCUUUAUUGAGUCUUGACUAGCUUUAUAAGACCCAGUACAAGCGGGAAGAAAAGCCUAAGACUUGGAAACUGUCAAACUGAAGCCAUGUGCAAGCCAUCAAACAGAUCCCUUUAGCAAAGUGCAGAAGAUGUACUUAUUCAAGUAUCCAGUGGACUUCCCAACAAAACAGCAACUUGAUGGGACAAGAGGAGGCCUCCUGGGACUACAUCUAGCACCAAGGUUCUUGUCAUCCUGAAAAGAGAAUUGGACAAGAAAACAUGCAAAAGAGUCCAAGGGCCAAAUCCAGACCAGUUUUUUUAAAAAAGAAUGUGGCCCAGAGAUAAGUGAAGGUCAGCUUCACUCUAGAAGAGUCAGAGAGAGGGGGAAACCCGCAGCCCUAGAACGUCUGUCUUGGAAUGCAGUAGCCACAAAGAGAACUGCUUGAAGUACGAGAACCAAAUCUCAGCCAUCUCAAGGGGCAGAAAGACAACUAAGACCAGAAGCUUUCUGAGGGUGCAUCUCCAGUCUUUUGCAAAACAUGCCUCCAAAGACAAAAGCUAUGAUUGAUUUCAGUCACAUUGUCA